rnacentral:rRNA from 1 species
GAUGAACGCUAGCUACAGGCUUAACACAUGCAAGUCGAGGGGAAACGGCAUCGAAAGCUUGCUUUUGAUGGGCGUCGACCGGCGCACGGGUGAGUAACGCGUAUCCAACCUGCCCAUCACUUGGGAAUAACCUUGCGAAAGUAAGACUAAUGCCCAAUGACAUCCCACGAAGGCAUCCGAAUGGGAUUAAAGAUUUAUCGGUGAUGGAUGGGGAUGCGUCUGCUUAGCUUGUUGGCGGGGUGACGGCCCACCAAGGCAACGAUCAGUAGGGGUUCUGAGAGGAAGGUCCCCAACAUUGGAACUGCGACACGGUCCAAACUCCUACGCGAGGCAGCAGUGAGGAAUAUUGGUCAAUGGGCGAGAGCCUGAACCAGCCAAGUAGCGUGCAGGAUGACGGCCCUAUGGGUUGUAAACUGCUUUUAUAAGUGAAUAAAGUGGGUCACGUGUGACUUUUUGCAUGUACCUUAUGAAUAAGGACCGGCUAAUUCCGUG